rnacentral:rRNA from 1 species
GAGUUUGAUCAUGGCUCAGAUUGAACGCUGGCGGCAGGCUUAACACAUGCAAGUCGAGCGGGCGAGGUUGCUUCGGUAACUGAGCUAGCGGCGGACGGGUGAGUAAUGCUUAGGAAUCUGCCUAUUAGUGGGGGACAACAUUCCGAAAGGGAUGCUAAUACCGCAUACGUCCUACGGGAGAAAGCAGGGGCUCUUUAUGACCUUGCGCUAAUAGAUGAGCCUAAGUCGGAUUAGCUAGUUGGUGGGGUAAAGGCCUACCAAGGCGACGAUCUGUAGCGGGUCUGAGAGGAUGAUCCGCCACACUGGGACUGAGACACGGCCCAGACUCCUACGGGAGGCAGCAGUGGGGAAUAUUGGACAAUGGGGGGAACCCUGAUCCAGCCAUGCCGCGUGUGUGAAGAAGGCCUUUUGGUUGUAAAGCACUUUAAGCGAGGAGGAGGCUUACCUGGUUAAUACCUGGGAUAAGUGGACGUUACUCGCAGAAUAAGCACCGGCUAACUCUGUGCCAGCAGCCGCGGUAAU